UAGGGAAUAUUGCACAAUGGGCGAAAGCCUGAUGCAGCAACACCGCGUGUGCGAUGAAGGCCUUCGGGUCGUAAAGCACUUUUCUGAGAGAUGAGAAAGGACAGUAUCUCAGGAAUAAGUCUCGGCUAACUACGUGCCAGCAGCCGCGGUAAAACGUAGGAGGCAAGCGUUAUCCGGAUUCACUGGGCGUAAAGCGCGUGCAGGCGGUUCGGUAAGUUGGGCGUGAAAUCUCCCGGCUCAACUGGGAGAGGUCGUUCAAUACUACCGGACUUGAGAGCAGAAGAGGAAAGUGGAAUUCCCGGUGUAGUGGUGAAAUGCGUAGAUAUCGGGAGGAACACCAGUGGCGAAGGCGACUUUCUGGUCUGUUUCUGACGCUCAGACGCGACAGCUAGGGUAGUAAACGGG
rnacentral:rRNA from 1 species